rnacentral:lncRNA from 1 species
AUGGGGCGACUGCCGGCCCCUAGCAUCAUCUGCUUCAUCGUCUUCCUCGUCCUCGCGAUAGCAACUGGUCUCGGGGUUCAGCAGCUGCCCCCCACGGCGAGUGUCCCAGCUGGCAGCAGCGUCACCCUGAGCUGCACCUUCCACAUCCUCAACCAGACCGGGACACAAGUCACCUGGGCCAGGGGCUCCCGGGAGGCCGUCGUGCUGGACCCCGCCCACCCCUUCUACCAGGGGCGGCUGGCCGAGAGCCAGCGGGACCAGCAGGGCCAGGUGGAGGCCAUGGUGACCCUGUCGGAGCUGAUGGAGAGGGACUCGGGUCUUUACCGCUGCUACAUCACCUACCCGCAGGGCGAGCAGGGGAAGGGCACCGGGACCACCCUGACUGUGAUGGGCAGAGCUGUUGCAGAAAUUCCAGCCGGCUGCAAGAGAGCGCUGGUCCCAAAUGUUGGAGCGUCCACCCAGAAACCAGGUGAGUUUGCCACGGAGUUCAGGGUAACGGCUCUUGUUGGGGUGAACAAAUGACUGGAUUUAUCCAGUCUCCAGCAUUGCAGCUCUUCUCUGGGGAUUGAUAGAGCAGUGCGGAUGGAGGGCAGGAGGGAUAGAAAGGGAGGCUGGAUGGCUGAAUUGACAGAUGUGGUAUGACGGGUUGGAUCACAGAAAACCCCCUGGGAACUGCCGACUGAUGUGCUGAGACUACCUCUGAGCCGGUUUUCCCUGGCAGCUCGGGACUUCAGUGCCCUGCCUGGUUCGAGCCAGACAUGCCAGCCUGCUACAACCCAGACCCAGGUCUGAACAACGUCCCCCAGAAGCUGCAGGCUUAACUGAAAACAGCUUAAGAAGUGAUCCUGUCUCCAACGCUCAGAUGCCCAGCUCCCAAUGGGAUCCAAACCCCAAAUAAAUCCAUUUUACCCUUAUACA